rnacentral:misc_RNA from 1 species
AAGACUAUAGACCUGCGGAGUACCUGCGGAAGGAUCAUUAUCGAGUUAGGGUCUUCUCAGGCCCGACCUCCUAACCCUAUGUUUACUAAACCGAUGUUGCCUCGGCGGGCCCGUCUCACGACCGCCGGAGGACUGUAAGACGUCCUCUGGCCCGCGCCCGCCGGCGGCCCAAACUUUUACAACUCCGAUUAAAACGUGUCCUCUGUCUGAGUACCAUUCUUGAAUUUAGACGCAAAACUU